CUUUUCCUGCACUUUUCAGAACGACGUGCCAAGUGCCUUUUAUGGUAUCCCCGGCUCUUUCAGCCUCACGGGAAUAGCAGAGGCGUAAAGGAAACAGUCUCACGAGCCAUUCCUUUGAGGGGCUUUCUUCUUGGCCUGGCUCUUUUGCACUUGAGAAACGGAAGUCAUCACAAACCAGGACUGGGGAGAGGUACUCACCUUUCAGAUGGAAACGGGGCUCCAGGGUGCGCUAGGAGUCCCAAAAGAUGUGAUUGAAAGCGUUCUCCGUUCUGUCUCCCUGCAACCCAGAGGAGGCCGCGUUCCCCCACCUUCAGGCUCCUAGAAGCACAGCCUCCUGUGUUAAUCCCUCUCAGGUUUGCAGAGCGUUCCGGAAAGACCCGUGUGCCUGCCAAAGAACAGUAUCACCUGUGAACCUCUCCUUGUGCGCUGGCAGCUGGGGCUCAGGCUGAGGAAAGCCGAGGAAACGUCUACCUGCUUCAGACAAGCCUGGUUAACAGAUGACACUCCGGCUGUGCUGGGGUUUUCAAGAGGCUGUUAGGGAAUUGCAUUACAGAGUAAUACACGCACCCGCACAAAGAAUCGCCCGCGACAGAUGGGGACAUAGAAGUUAUUUAAAAGUGGCCCUGCAGAUUCGCUGGGAUGCCCAGUGUUACGGGCAGAUACAUCUUAAAACUGUCCACCUCCUCUCUUUUCCUGCUCCAGAAGAAGGGUAGAAGAGACGCACAGAGAAGAAGGAGAAGACCAACAUGAAAAUGGAGUCAGAGAUUGGAGAGAUGCGGCCACAAGUCAAGGGAAACGUGGGGGCUCCCAGAAGCCGGGAGAGAAAAGGAAGGAUUCUCCCCUGGCACCCACACCUUGAUUUCCCACCUCUAGGCUCCAGAAUUGUGAGAGAAUAAAUGUCUGUUGUUUUAA